UUAAGAAUCUUGCGCAAUGGGCGAAAGCCUGAACUAGCAACACCGCGUGUGCGAAGAAGGCCUUCGGGUUGUAAAGCACUUUUUGAGAGGAUGAGGAAGGACGGUACUCUCAGAAUAAGUCUCGGCUAACUACGUGCCAGCAGCCGCGGUAACACGUAGGAGGCAAACGUUAUCCGGAUUUACUGGGCGUAAAGCGCGUGUAGGUGGUUUGGUAAGUAGAGCGUGAAAGCUCCUGGCUCAACUGGGAGAGGUCGUUCUAAACUGCCGGACUAGAGGAUGGUAGAGGGAGGUGGAAUUCCGGGUGUAGCGGUGGAAUGCGCAGAUAUCCGGAGGAACACCAGUGGCGAAAGCGGCCUCCUGGACCACUCCUGACACUCAGACGCGAAAGCUAUGGGUAGCAAACG
rnacentral:rRNA from 1 species